UACAGAGGGUGCGAGCGUUAAUCGGAAUUACUGGGCGUAAAGCGUGCGUAGACGGUUAUCUAAGUCGGAUGUGAAAGCCCCGGGCUCAACCUGGGAAUUGCAUUCGAGACUGAAUAGCUAGGGUACGGUAGAGGGAAGUGGAAUUUCCGGUGUAGCGGUGAAAUGCGUAGAUAUCGGAAGGAACAUCAGUGGCGAAAGCGACUUCCUGGACCAGUACCGACGUUCAGGCACGAAAGCGUGUGGAGCAAACAGG
rnacentral:rRNA from 1 species